rnacentral:lncRNA from 1 species
AAGUGUGAAAAACGGGAUGCGGGUGAGGAGAGUGGACUUUAUACAGCUGGUGAGAGGGAGUCAAUGAAGAAUGUAUGUUACAAGUUUUACGUGAUGACGGUAUUUUCAAUUCGUGGUUGAUUGAAUCCAUGGAUACAGAACCCACUGGCAUGAAGGACUGACUGUGAGGAACUUGAGCAUCCGUGGAUUUUAUCAUCUGUGGGAAUGUCUGGGAACGAAUCCCCUGCAGAUACCAAGCGACGACUAUACUCCAACAUACACCACUUUGUAUAUCAAUUCGUGAUUCUUUGACCUCUUGAAGUCGGUACAUGAACAUUCGGUGAAGAACCCCCAUUUCCAUUAGAAGAUCCCCAAAGCUUCAAACAUCUCUUACAAUUGUAACAUAUUCAGAGAUGCAGAAGCGAAGUGAGAAUCAGCAACGCCUUACAAAAACAGAGUGGGGUUUGUGGCGAUGACAGAUAAAAAUUGAAACCCACAGUACUGGGUUGGGCAUCCCAAGACAUUAAAAACUACUGAAGCUAUGCAGAUGCAUCUUCCAGGCAAAGAUGAUAUGAUGAUAGCACUGGACGAUUAUGCAAACCUUACAGCCCUUCCAGAAAUGUGAACUACCCAGCACCAUGAACUGAACUCAGCGAUGUUCAACAAUGGCCCAAACUCUCUGAUACAGGGAAUGGGUAAAUGAACUGGAACUAUGUCACUACAACAUGGUUUACAACAAGAUAUGACUAUCACAGUGCAUCAGCACCAUGCAAGGUUCAUAGCCAUCAAUAUUUGUCCUUGCACCUGGUAACAUCAGCAAUUUGGGGAAUUAUCAAGUUCAUGGCAAAUAAGCCAUCAAGCAUUUCAAGAAUUUAUUUAACCAAAGCAAGGUACGUGAAUGCUGACCGCAUGCGCUAAACUUUCAUGUGCUGUUCAUUUUACCUGACUGGGUCAGACUGACCUCAGAAGAGCAAAGGGCAGAAUCUGACGCUGAGUCACAUAAAAAAGGGGCAAAUGAGUCCUGAAAUACUUCUGUUCAUCAUGUUAGUGAAGUAAGUUAAUAAACAAUUCCUUUGUAGUUAGCUGAUUUCCACAGGAAAUAUAAAACAGAGGUCAUUUAUAAGUCAAAUAGUAUCAUCCUUAUUUAAUUAUAGCUUGAUAGAUAUAAAAUUGGCUUAUCUCAUUUACUUGAAUAAGUUACACUUCUACAAUGAUGAUGAAAUUUACUUUAGUUUUUUCUAUUCAGUGGUCAUCAGUGGAAAGAACCUUACAUUAAUCAGCUACAGAAGGAACUGAAUUUUUAUUGGUGGAGUUAAUUUAAUUUUUUAACCAGUCUUUUACUUUUUUUUUUUAACUAGUUCUAAACAUAUCUAAUAAUAUCUCCUAAUAAAGUAAUGAUCUUUUGUCUUCAACAGUGGGUGAUUUUAAUGUUUUUGUUUUUAGAACAGGAAAACUUGGAACAUGCUUAUCAAAAAUUUACAGCAUUACAUAAUCAGUAAUUGCAUGGACAUGGUCCCACUAGAAUUUUCCAACUGUGUUGCAUACAACAAAAAUAUUCUUGUAAGUUGCAUGAAAGAUUUUAGACUUCAUAUAACAGUAUAAUCA